rnacentral:rRNA from 1 species
AUGAGGUACGACUCCGAAUGGGAGGAAGUAAAGCUCAUCAAUGGCUACGCCAUGCUCUUUGCGUACGUGGGGUUUGCCUUCAGGGGCAUAGGCUUCUUGGUGGUUACAUGGACCACGGUUGUUCUUCUCGGUGGAUUCGUCUCUAUGAUAGACACCAAGGAUUUCUGGCUUCUCACGCUGGUUACCCUCACGCAGAUACUCUGGUUAGUCUAA